GUGCUUGCUUCAGCAGCACAUACACCAAACUGGAAUGAUACAAAGAUUAGCAUGGCCCCUAGACAAGGAUGACAGGUAAAUAUUUGGUAGAAUUCACCUGUGA
ensembl:snRNA U6 U6 spliceosomal RNA